GAUGAACGCGGGCGGCGUGCUUAACACAUGCAAGUCGAACGAAGCACUUUAUUUGAAACCUUCGGGUAGAUUAUUCUGUGACUUAGUGGCGGACGGGUGAGUAACGCGUGGGUAACCUGCCUCAUACACCGGGAUAACAGUUGGAAACGGCUGCUAAUACCGGAUAAGCAUACAGUACCGCAUGGUACAGUGUGAAAAACUCAGGUGGUAUGAGAUGGACCCGCGUCUGAUUAGCUAGUUGGUAAGGUAACGGCUUACCAAGGCGACGAUCAGUAGCCGACUUGAGAGAGUGAUCGGCCACAUUGGGACUGAGACACGGCCCAAACUCCUACGGGAGGCAGCAGUGGGGAAUAUUGCACAAUGGGGGAAACCCUGAUGCAGCGACGCCGCGUGAAGGAUGAAGUAUUUCGGUAUGUAAACUUCUAUCAGCAAGGAAGAAAAUGACGGUACUG
rnacentral:rRNA from 1 species